UACGGAGGGAGCUAGCGUUGUUCGGAAUUACUGGGCGUAAAGCGCGCGUAGGCGGCUUCUUAAGUUAGAGGUGAAAGCCCGGAGCUCAACUCCGGAACUGCCUUUAAAACUGCAUCGCUUGAAUCCAGGAGAGGUGAGUGGAAUUCCGAGUGUAGAGGUGAAAUUCGUAGAUAUUCGGAAGAACACCAGUGGCGAAGGCGGCUCACUGGACUGGUAUUGACGCUGAGGUGCGAAAGCGUGGGGAGCAAACAGG
rnacentral:rRNA from 1 species